CAAAUUAAAGCUUGUUUAGAUAAGUAUUUUAUUUACAUUAAAAAGGUGUUGUGCAAAUCAAUAUAAUUUGA
rnacentral:tRNA from 1 species